rnacentral:lncRNA from 1 species
GGAUCAGAAGCCACAAAAUGCAGAAGCAAAAUAUGGAGCUGUCAAAGAAAAAUCUUGCUUUGAAGAAGAAACUGAGAGAGAGAGAUGAGAUGCUGUUAGUUCUGGCGUUGUUGUUUGUUGGAAUGUGUGUUGUUGUGUUUUUAGUGUUGUAGUUUGCAGCAGUUGUUGAAGAGAGUGUGUGAGAGAGAGAUGACCUGAAUGUUGUU